rnacentral:rRNA from 1 species
AUUGAACGCUGGCGGCAUGCCUUACACAUGCAAGUCGAACGGCAGCGGGCCUUCGGGUGCCGGCGAGUGGCGAACGGUGAGUAAUGCAUCGGAACGUGCCAUUGAGUGGGGGAUAACGUAGCGAAAGUUACGCUAAUACCGCAUAUUCUGUGAGCAGGAAAGCAGGGGACCGCAAAGGCCUUGCGCUCUUUGAGCGGCCGAUGUCAGAUUAGCUAGUUGGUGAGGUAAAGGCUUACCAAGGCGACGAUCUGUAGCGGGUCUGAGAGGAUGAUCCGCCACACUGGAACUGAGACACGGUCCAGACUCCUACGGGAGGCAGCAGUGGGGAAUUUUGGACAAUGGGCGCAAGCCUGAUCCAGCCAUGCCGCGUGAGUGAAGAAGGCCUC